rnacentral:rRNA from 1 species
UGAGGAAUAUUGGGCAAUGCCCGCAAGGGUGACCCAGCAACGCCGCGUGGAGGAUGAAUGUCGUAAGAUUGUAAACUCCUGUUAGAGGGGAAGAAUAGUACCGGUUGGACCGGUAUAUGACUGUACCCUCAGAGAAAGCCCCGGCUAACUACGUGCCAGCAGCCGCGGUAAUACGUAGGGGGCAAGCGUUGUCCGGAUUUACUGGGUGUAAAGGGCGCGCAGGCGGGAUAAAAAGUCAGUGGUGAAAUCCUACAGCUUAACUGUAGAACUGCCUUUGAUACUUUUAUUCUUGAGUUCGGGAGAGAGAGACGGAAUUCCAGGUGCAGUGGUGAAAUACGUAGAUAUCUGGAAUAACACCAGUUGCGAAGGCGGUCUCUUGGUCCGACACUGACGCUGAGGCGCGAAAGCGUGGGGAGCAAACA